CGUAUUUUUCCGAAAAGCAAGGGCCUAACAAGUUUAUGAGCGAAGGUGAACAGUUUCUUGCCACAGACCUGAAAAAUGGCUCAAGAAGUUGCGGACGCAUUGCUGGAAUGCAAAGUUGGAUUCAUAGGUGGCGGUAAAAUGGCCCAAGCCAUGGCGAAAGGCUUCAUAUCUUCAAAGAUAUUAAAGGCCUCGAAUGUUUUAGCCAGUGCAAGAACUGAAGAAACCUUGUCUAAAUGGACGGAUAUUGGCUCUCAUGGAACAAGAGACAACUGCAGGGUUGUACAAGAAUGUGACAUAGUGUUUCUCUGUGUCAAACCGUAUCUUUUGGGGAAACUACUUGAAGAAAUAAAGCAUGUUGUAACUGAGAAGCAGCUGUUUGUGUCUGUUGCAGCAGGGGUGCCUCUAGAAUUCAUGGAAGAGGCUUUACCCAAAGGUUCAAGAAUUGUCAGGACCAUUCCUAACACACCAUGUCUUGUCCAAUCUGGUGUAAUUGCUUACACUCCAGGUGGCUGUUGUACUUCCACAGAUGUUAAAGUUGUGCAUCACCUUCUCAGUUCUGUUGCCUCAGCUGAAAAUGUGCCGGAGCCGCAGAUAGAUAUAAUCUCAUCUCUGUGUGGAAGUAGUGUUGCCUGGUUCUAUAUGAUGAUUGAGGGAGCAUCAGAUGGGGCUGUGAAGGUUGGUUUACCAAGAAAACUUGCUACUGAGUUGGCUGCGAGAGCAAUGGUUGGUGCUGGAAAUAUGGUUUUGAAAACAGGAAAGCACCCAGGAGAGCUCAAAGAUGAAGUUACAUCACCAGCUGGGUCAACAAUUGUAGGUAUUCAUAGCCUUGAGAGGGAUGGCAUGAGAGGAAGUUUUAUGUCUGCAGUUGAAGCUGCUUUUUUAAGAAACAAAGAAAUGAAUCCAAAAUCAAAGUAAUACAACAGAAUGUGGAUAAAAUUGCAUUUCUUUUUAAUGAAGUUAAAAUAUCAAUUGGUUGCGAAAUGAAAUAUUCAGAGAAAGGCCUUGUAGCAGAUUGCAUGACGUUUGAUCACUAACUGUGCCAACAGCUUGGAUAAGGUAUUGAAAUUUAGUAAAGACUAAGUCUCGAAUUAUGCUCAAGCAUUCGCCUGCAGUUCUAAAUCAGCAUAAUAUUUAAUUGUCUUGGGUAAAUUAUGCUUCAUUUUGGUUUUCGUUUGCGUACAUAUGCUCUCUAUACUUCCACUUGACCGUCGUUCAGGAAAGACAGAGAGUUUUCAUAGGGCUUUUCUCUUCAAGAAUCGAAUUCAUGUAUUUUGGUGGGUACUUAAAACUGAAAUUGAAAGCAGCAGUCAUUCAAACUUGUUUUUAUAUAGUUGAGUUAUGUUUUAAACAUUAUUUUAUGUCAGAUUUUAGUUGAUGUGUUAUUAAGCUAGAUCAAAACGGAGUUGCUUACCAUUCCCUGUUUAGAAUUUCUUCCCAGACUAACAGGAAAUUGUUGUUGUAUUUUUGUAGGAAUGAUUUUAUCAGCAUUCAUUGAACUAGCGUAAAGAAUCUACGAGUUUUAAUUAAUCUAGGUUUUUGUCAUUCAAUGGGUACGACUUAUUUAUGAGUAAACAAUUAGAAUAAAAAUAUAUCUUGAAAGGAAAUCAUCAAUAAAUCUCUCUCUAAAGUCUUCUAAUUCGUCAUCAGUUAUCAUUCGUUAGUAUUACCAUCACAGUUGUCAUUUUCGACCUGGUCCUGUCAUCAACAUCGUCAUCAACAUUAUAAUCAUCGUUGUCAUCAUCAACAUCAGCGUCAUAAUCAUCUUCAUGAUCUAAUUUCUUAACUUGGUAUUUUGAAGUUAAAAACCACGGAGCCAGAGAGGCCAAUUCAAUCAUUUGCAGCAUAGUAGCCGAACAGUCUUUUCAUCAAAGGAAUUAAACUGCUUCUAAAACUGGAUUUUUUAUUAUAAAAAAUAUUGAAAGAGAAUAUUAAGACGACUUACUUCUACCAACACUAAUUUCUUUUUCAAACCGACUUGGAAGCAAUCCUUGUGCCAUUUUUUAACUGCUGUUAUUUGCGAGUUAAUAUUAAAAAGUCAAAGUCAAUUUAAUUGAGGUUGUAAUUGAAGGCUUAGCUUAAUAUUUUGACAUUUAUUUUAACUAAAAGCGGAUAACCCAUCGAGCCAAUUAGUUAUAAACAUGAUUUUAGGAUAUUUGAUUUUUUCUGAAUCCUGUCAUAGUCUGAACCAGUUUUAAAAUCUGCUGCUCAAUCGAGUUUGGGUUUGUAUGGAAAUUCUCAGACAGACGUCUAUGAAAUCAGCUUCUAAGGAAAACAUUCAGCAAUAACAAGUUGACUUUACUAAGCAUAUCAAGUAGCAUAACCAACUCUUUUAUCAUUGUACACUGCAGAAACAUUUUGUAUGAAAGAGAACAUUUUAUAGGGCUGCAUCCAAGGGUUUACUUUGGUGGCGUCUUAAAAUACUUUUGCGUGGUUUCUCCUUGGCUUUGCCUCUUUGUAAAACCGUUUUAACACUCCUUUCAUCGAGUAAGCCAAGUGUCUAAGGUAAAAUGAUUAGAAGUGAAAGCAUAGUGGAGAUUUUUUGGAGUAUUUAAUGAAUCAAAAUGUCUCAUUUUUGUCAGAAUGCCAAUACUUUUUGAGACUUUUACAUUAAUUUCCCAAAUAUGUUGCUGCCUUAUUGCCAAUCAAUACAUCUAAAUAUUUUUUUAGUUUUUCUGUGACUGGAGUAUCAUCUAUUUUGAUGCGAAUUUUAGAUUCUGAAUUUUUACCAUAAGACUUGAUCAUGAAGUUUGAUUUUGCGACAUUUGGGGAUAGCCUCUUUGCAGAAAGCCAUGUUGAAACUGUUAAAAUAAAUUUACAGUUUUUUUAACGUUCGAUUGGGUUGCUAUGGGUAAAGAAGAUGCUAGUAUCUUUAGCAAAGAGAUGAAUUUUAAGAAUGCGUGAGGACGUCGUGUCUAUACAAAAGAAAAAUGAGAUUGCUUAUAAUAUGUAUCUGUUUUUUACAUGCAGAUAAAACCCUGUAAUUUGGUGAUGUUUGAUCAGAGACUUUGCCCCAUUUAACUUAGUAUAACUUUGCCCCAUUUAGUAGAGUAAAGAAAUAAUUGCGGGACAUGCGAAAAUUCCGGGGCAUCCUCAGCAAAAAAUUCCAAGUUAAAUUUUUUGCAACCAUAAGUCAUAGCGACCUGAAUGAAACCAUUUUCGCGCUUAUUUUUCGAAGUGACCUUAGUUUCAGACGUUUCCGCUUCCUGGGAUAGUAGUUUUGUCUUCCGGUCACUUUUUAACAUCCAACAGUUGUCAGCUUUUGAGUUAUCAACAGAGCCUAAAAUAAGAAAUUUUUACAGAUCCACAUUUUUUAUAAAAAUUGGAAGUGGUACUUUCCUGGGAUUGGCAUCAUGGGGGUGGCAAAUAAAGAAACUGCCAUCAUAGUGCAAAUAGCAUGUCUUAAUUGGGCAAAUUCUUUAAUUAAUGUAGUAUAAGUAGCAAAAGCUGAUUCUUCACAAUAUAUGGAUUAAUAAGAAAAUUAGCUACAUAUAGCGAUGUCUUAUUUUACAUGGUUUGUUCGGAUCUCUGUCAUAGUUGUUUUAUUUCCUUUCACUUUCAAAAACUUCCUUAAAUCAGCCUUGCUUCUCGGACUUUGGUGUUUUUUGGUUUUUUGGAGCCAUAUCUUUGCAGCUUUUCUCGGAACUCAAAACUUGCGAGGUCAAGCAUAUUCAUUGAAAUAUUUAUCUAUUUGUUUAGUUUUUCUAGAGCUAUGCUGCUUUUCCCACCUGCUUCUAUCUUGUUGUAGGUGGAAAUCAGCCUCUUCACAUUGACAGAAUUAGGGAUUCGCGAGAAUCCGAGCCAUUGUCCUGUCUGGUAGAAUUCCUCUGAGAACAAGUCUCAGACCUCUGCGAUCUUAGUCGUUUAUUUCUCAAAAUUUGAUGCAUGAUAUAUUGAAUGAAAUAUUUUGUCCCGGACAAAAGCUGGGUGAAGCUUUCUUAAGUCUCUUUUACUUAUGGAAAGUUCUUAACUGCAUUCAGCCCAUCAAAUUCUUUGCCACCAAAUCUGUUCUUCAUAAAGUUUAACGAAAUCUAUAAACGAAAACCUCGUUACAGAUGGCAAAUAAACUCUUCUCUCACUGAUUGUGCUUGUUUCUUUUUAUUCUCUUUUCACCCAGUUUUAAAGCAUGAUCUUUACCCCUAUCUUAUUUGUAAUGCAGAAACCACCCAACAGAUCUCAAUUUUGGAAUUACGCCAAAUUUGUCAUUAGAUUGUGCAAAAAUUAUGCUAGAUUUCAAAGCAAGGCAACCCUGCUCGAGAAAGAGGCUAAUGCAUGCUCAGAAUAUCAGAAGUGGCCAGAGUUGCAAUUUGGCCUUUUUGACAACAUAGUGUACUCAUUCUUCAUAAACAAAAAGGCAAUUUAGAUCCAUGGUUUGGUGGGCAAAUUUCUCCAUUUUGACAGUUUCUCAAAACCCCUUGGUCGUCAUAAAUUGAUUGAGCCGAAGAAGCAAAACUUGGCUGAAUUCUGGCAGCAUGUUGCAAAAAACAACAAAAAUGCAAAGGAAACAAAUGCGAAGGUUUUUUGCACAGAUAAUAUUCAAAACUUUUUAAGAUAGUUUCAAAAUUGCAAAUGAUGAAUGAUGAAACAAAGCAAAAGAUAACAGACAAUUUUAGAUCAAAGCAAGUGAAAACUUUUGUAACCAACAAAGCAAAUUUUGAUAACGGUAUCACUCCCAAUAAUAAGCAAAAAUUUAGCUUUUUUGUAUACUGCGUUUAGCUGGCUACAUUUGGCCGCCAACUACAAAAUAUGUGGCUGCCAACCAUCCAGAACAACUGGCAAAAUCCUGAAGGUGGAAAGUCACAAUUUACUCCCAAAAUGAAACCACAGAUGCUGGUGUAUAGUGUUUGCAUUUGGUAACGAUAGACAAUGGAUCCAUUAAAACAAUGAUUCUUUUAAAAAAUAUCAGAAUUAUGCCAGAGUUAUGCUAGAUUCAAAAUUAUGCUAGAUUUUAUGCUUAAUGGCGAUUCUUGGCAAAUAUUAUUCUAAUAUUACGCUAGAUCACAUCACACUAGCACCAGCCCACAAGAGAGUGGUUGGAACGGGACUAGUAGGCUUGCCUCUAAAUUUUUUACGGCCACGCUCUUUCAAAUACCGGAAAACACUCUUUUCAAAAAAUGUUUGUUUCUUUCUGUCCUUAUUCAUAAACAUAACGAUUUAGAGAAGAUUUCAAUUAACAUAAAAAUAUAAAACCGAGUUAGAUAAAUUACAAAUAAAGCACCUUCACACAAGAACAGACCACACAAGAUUAAGCACCAUCAAAAAGAACAAAAACGUGUUUCCAGCAGAACUGCUACUAAUGCGUUCGUUAGCCUCAACUUUCAAAACAUUUUCUAACCUAUUAUUGCAAAAAGUUGGGGAGGACUAUAGUCCCUGUCUUGCAACAUUCCCAAUUGAAUGUUCCUCCCAGCUACCACCGAGAGGCUUAUCAUCGUUCAGCUGCUGUAGCCUUGAGAAGAAUCUUUCCAAUGCUUUUCCAAUUUAAAACACCUUAGAUGAAUUGCUUUAUAACUUUUUCUGACAUCUACUGAAAGAUAUCACAUAAACCCCAAAAUACAUUACGGGCAGAAAAUCAUAAUCUCGGUCUUGGUCUUUAAGCUCAGUGUCUUUUUUGAAGCAAGUCAUAAAAGCAAACUAAAUUGAGAUGAUGUCUUGAAGUUAAAGCUGUAUACAGAGUCCAUCUUGCUUUAAGAAAGCACACAACAAUAUCCUAAAGCGCAAUUGAUUUUUCUCCGCAUGUACUGAAGCUUCGAGCCCUGAAGUUUCUUAAUUCUUCUUUAUUGUCCAUUGCUUAUUUCUUAUUGCAACUUUCUUUUAAAAAAUGAGUGCAAUACAUAAGACUGGGAUUGGGCUUUCACUUCGAAUUGAAAAAAUGUUCCCAUUUCUUUCUUAGGCGUUAUGAUUGGUAUUUUAUGCUGCACUUUUAAGAACAUGCAUUGUUUACAAGUUCACGCUUUCUACAAUUACAGUUCCACAAUUUUAAUUUACAACUCAACAAAGUGAGUCAGAUCCACGCUUAUUUUAGGUUCUGGUUAUCAAUGGGAGUGGUUAGGAUUUUGACAUUGGGGGAGGGAGGAAGCAAUUUUUUUAUAAACACAUAAAAAUGACUAUAUCUAAAUGUUAAACGUACAACGGUAACUUACAAUCAUGUAUAAACCAACACAGUCAUGGCAGAGAGGGUUAAGAAGCAACAUGUGCUACUUCUCAAACUCAAUUCAUCUGCACAUUGCAAAUUAUACCCUAUGAAUAUUUGUUCUGCAAACGCGUUUGUUUGGAGACCCUCUUGGGUAUCGGGAGACAUGGUCAUCCUGCUUCUUUUUUACUAUCACUGGAGUUGUCUGUAUAAGUCCGUUAAGCUGUAGCGUCAUUAACGACACAGUUGUUGUGCUCCUUGCAAGUUAUCGCAAUCUUUGCAAUUUAGUAAUUUUUGUAAUGUCAUCUUAACUUCCAAAUUUUUUUCGCACUCAUUGUUUCAAAAGGCACAUAUGUGCCCUAAAUUUGCGCCAAGUGGAUUGCAGCUCUGCAAUGAUGUGCCGAGAGUAAAUUCAGAACGUUUAUCAAGCUAGCCCAAUUUACUGGCUCAUACAAACGUGCCCUAAGUUUCCAUCUUCUGCAUAUUUUGACAGAACAAGUUCUCCAACUAUUGGCUGCAUCCCAAAAAGCUGAAAGAAGACAUUUAUCUUUGCAGGAUAAGGAUUAUAAGUGAUGUUAAUUACUCUAGAUAAACCAACAGCUUUCUGAUUGUUCUUAUGCUAAUCAGUUUUAAUUAGGAUAAGGUUUUCAUAAUCAUUAUUCAUGUUCUCGUUAAUUUUUUGAUUUGUUAAAAAUGAUUCAAUUCUAAUCACCGAGACUUAUUAAAAUAAGCAUAAUUAAAUAGCAUUAGCAUCCUAUAGUUUGCAUGUAUUAAGCCUGCUUAAAAGAUUUGAAUAUCAUUUUAAAAACCAUUUUCUUGAAGAAGCAAGCCAUUUGCUAAUAAUAGCAAUUUUUCAUAUUUUCAAUGGAAAACCAUGAUCAACAAUCAUCAUCAUCAUCAUCAUCAUUAUCAUAAUCAUCAUCAUCAUCAUCAUCAUCAUCAUCAUCAUCAUCAUAAUCAUCAUCAUCAUCAUCAUCAUCAUCAUCUUUUCAUCAAAGAAUCAAGCCGGUCUGCUAAGAGCUAGGUCUUCAAUUUCAUGUAGUUGUGGUGCAGCAGAGUUUGUAACAACAUUCCUGCAGAUUCCGCAGAAAAUAAUUGUUAAGAUAAUCAUAAUACAAAAAGGGCAACAAAGCUUUUUAAAUUUCCUAAUGCUUUUCUCUGUCAGGUUUUGCAUGCUAAAUUCCACCAUUCGUUUUGGUAUCGUAUUGUUUAAGUGCUUGGGUAAGUUUUUGCAUUACCAAAUUGUCAUGCGUUUGUGUACCGAAACGCAUGACACCAAUAAGGUAUUUUACCUCAUUGCAUGCACUGAUUUUUUAAAGAUCAGUGAUUGCAUAGCCUGCGCGCAGCCUCAGACACUUUUAUCCCGAAGAGUACUUCUACCUUCUAUCUUCUCUACAUGAUUGCAUGACACCGGCUUACCUCGUUUGCAAUUAUAAAAGCCUCGUUAAUGUUUCGUUCCGAAGAGGACAAUCUUUGGAAGAGGAUGUAAAUAAGGACAAAGGCCAUGGGUCAAACAGAUUUGAAGCUCAGUUGAAAAGUAAAGACCGCAUGCUAUUCAGACAGAGAAUGAGAAUGAGAUUCAGAAUGAGAUUCGACAUCAGAAUGACAUACAGAAUGAGAUUCAAUCCGAACCACGAAAGACUAAAACUGUCUAAAAUGUAUUUCUGAUGUUUGAUUUAAUCAUUUCUAAGCCAUCUUGUCUAAAUGAUUCUUUUAGCACCUUUUUACACAAAAAAACUGAGAAUUGCGGGCGAAAUUUUCGCGUUGUUUCCUGUCUACAUAUGGGGUCCCUAUGGUCGAAAAAAGGGUAUUUUGCCGGGCACGAAACAAUCAACGAUAUCUUCCAAAAACAAGAAGCAAUUCUCAAAAUCUUUUCUGCGUAAAAAAGUACAAUAAGUAAAUUAUCCGAAAUGAUUUUAUUUGACAACGAAAGCUCUUUUUAUCUGGCAGAACUCACUCGAUUUUCCUCAGAAUGAGAUUCAAUCCUUUAGGCCCUCUAGACGUAAACAACACCACUGCAUAUCAACGAAUUGAUGCUGAAAACCAGGAGUUUUUCAUAAAAUCCUCACAAUUACAACAAAAUAUGCCAAAUUUAAUGAAAAAUUGUAAAUUUUUGCGACAACGGGCUGGAAAUGUUUCUUUUUAAAAACGCAUAUUCACCAACGGUAGCCCUGUGAUCGAUGACCAGAAUGAGGCCAGAAUGAGAUUCGAAAAAGCCGUCGAUAUCUCCAGAACGAAUGAAGUAAUUUCCUAAAUUCCUUCGGUGUAAAAAACGUUAGCACACUGUUUGUCGAGAAUUAUUUCACCCAGUAACAAACUCAAGCCAUGAAACCUUGAGUGAAAUCAGUAAAAUCUGAGAUCAUGGGGUGCACAAAUGCCAAUUUGUAUGCAAUUUUAUAUCGAAUCACCCAGCUGUUUGUGUCAGUUGCAGCAGGAGUGCCUUUAGCAUUCAUAGAAGAGUUGAAAUGUCAAUUGGUUGCAGAAUAGAAUAUUCAAAGAAAAACCUUCUAGCAGAAGGCAUUGCGUUUGAUCACCAACUGUGCAAGAAGAAUUGAUCAGGAAACCGAUGUGGCUUGGAGGAGGAUCGUGGCUACCCCCAGAUACCCUCCUCAGACGGUUUCUUAUUGGCAAGAUUUCUUUGUCCAUGUGAUCAGGACUGUUGUAAGCGUUGAAAGGCGGGGAAGGACAAAAGGAAGAGGUUAUAAUGGCUCAAACCAUUUAAGCCAAAAUGGCUAUACUUUAAAAUUUGGGCAAGUGCCAGUGAUGAUGUCCCUCAGUUCCAAAGAUCGAUACCUUCUUGGUCUAUCACAAGAAGCAAGAAAUUUUAGUUGUAAGAAAAUCACGUGUUGUUGCAUAUUCGAAAGGGUCCGUAGAGGUGUAUUUGUAUUUGUUUCUACCUACCAUCCGAAGGUAGUUUUUAGGACACUGAGAAGCUUAUGCUUAUCGUGCAGUGUCCUGGACCUAACUCUCGAUGUGACCACACCUCGUGAUUCCUACGCAAGGAGUGGAUAGAGCUGGCGACUCUCCUCACUCUGAUGAAGGUUUGGUAACGCCAGGGACUCGAACUACGAGCCCUUGUAGUCAACGCCUCUAACAACUGAGCAAUCCUCGCACUCAAAACUGUAGGG